CUAUUACUAACACAUUUACUGUUUUACUUUUAGCCUGUGGAUACAAAUACAGAUGUCCUUAAUGUUCAGUGGUGCGUGUUCUUCUAAUGGCCGCCUUCCCACUGGAGGUUUUGAUCCACAGCAAUUUAAAAGGAGGACAGAACAAAACGGACAUUGGCGCAGAGUGAAGAACUGCCCUAGGACACUAUGACAGCCAUAUAUAUGGCAGUAAGGAAGAGGUUUCCCAAUGUGUCCAGAAGGGCUUUGAAGAUUGCAGUGAAAGCUGGGGGAACUGAGACUGCUGGAAAAGGAAAAGAAAUUACAUUUUAAGUAUGUUGACUUAUGUUCAUACAAUCACACACACAUAUACACAUACAUAUAUAUAUACAGUGGAACCCCGACUUACGAAUACCCCGUUUAACGAAAAAUUCAAGUUACAAAGGCACUGAACGGCAAUAUUUCUGCCCUUGUUAUGGCAAAGUGCCCGUGUAACGAAAUCCGCUGGCUCUGAUUGCCUGAGCCUACAAUGCCCACAAUGCCUUCCGAAUCAUGUGACAACCCCUUGGCUUUCGUGAUUGCGCUUCGCUGUUCCACUUGAACAACGUAUUGUUGUUCUAGUUAGCAAUUAGCCUAUAGCCUAUCGUUCAGCAUCGCCUCACUCAACAGGCGCGAUGGGUGCUUCGACCUAUGAAAAUUUUCGACUUA